rnacentral:tRNA from 1 species
GGGCCUGUUGUCCAAUGGCUAAGAUACCUCGCUUGCACCGAGGAGACCCGUGUUCAACUCACGGCAGGUCCA